rnacentral:rRNA from 1 species
GACAGAGGGUGCAAACGUUGUUCGGAAUUACUGGGCGUAAAGCGCGUGUAGGCGGCUUGGCAAGUCGGGUGUGAAAACCCCGGGCUCAACCUGGGAAGUGCACUCGAAACUGCUUGGCUUGAGUACUGGAGAGGGAAGCGGAAUUCUCGGUGUAGAGGUGAAAUUCGUAGAUAUCGAGAGGAACACCGGUGGCGAAGGCGGCUUCCUGGACAGUUACUGACGCUGAGACGCGAAAGCGUGGGGAGCAAACAGG